GAAUGGUGGGCCCGCGUUGGUUCCUGUCCUACGACAGGCGAAGAGGGAAUGCGAUAGGGCGAAAGCCCGAAGCGCAGCCGCCCCCGCGACCGUGACCGGAGAGAUUCCCAAAGCCACUGAUUCCUUGACGGAAUCGGGAAGGCGGGGAUCAAAGGACAAAAUCCUGCUCCGCAAGCCGGGAGACCUGCCAGCGCAGUGAUGUGAGAA
rnacentral:ncRNA from 1 species